UACCCAAAGUGACGUUUUUAGCAGCUCAUUUGUGUGGGGAAGACCACAUUGCCCGACACAAUGACAUGAUGACAUGCGAGCAGGCCUGCAAGUUCUUGAAUACCAUCCCAUGCUAUGCAGACGUUUUUGAUCUAUGCACGGUUACCAUGGAAGAAUCAGGUUUAGGCUUUCCAAACUGGAGAUCAGAAGCACUUGAAUUAAACAGCUUAAUAGGGACAUUCUUCAUCCCCAAUUGUUAAAGUUGUGUGUGUGUGUGUCUGUGUCUGUGUGUGUGUGUACCUAUUUGAAGGAAAGAUCCAGAAGGGCCCCCUCACCAUCUGCAACCAUGAGCACUCAGGUGCGGAAGAGAAGAUUGUAGCAGAGCUGCGAGAAGGUGUAUGACCCCCUGGCCCCAGACUUCCACUUGCAGGCCCUGAUUCGCACAGCUGGCAAGUUGGUAUGCCUCAAAGACGCCGGCCACAAGAUCCAGCAGUUCUCCAAGAAAGUGUCUAUCCCACCAUCAUGGACGAUGAAACGAUCAGGGCAGCUGCUUCUGGGAGGAAGAUACUCGACCAGAUCCUGCAGCGCCGUGCCACCUCUUUCACCACCAAGAGAGGACAAGGGCUCCACUUUCUCUAAGGCCAGUUUAUGUUGCCUCUGAGAAUCGCAAUGACAUCACACUGGAUGAGCCAGAGGACAAACAUCCAACAGGCCUCUGCUGUCUGUUUCCAGAGCACCUUCUGAGACUGAUAGACACAAUGACACACAUGCUCAAAACAGGCCUCUUAAGGCAUGGGUGAAAUUGUUACUCUAUUGCCUACAUACACUCAUUCAGACACGCACUCACCAUCAAUGCGUGUGUAUUGAUCUGAGCGUCCUGAGAAGGGCCAGCAAUGGAAUGAGCUGUCUGAGUACUGAACACUUAAGAUGAUUUCCAGGACUGAUGCAGCACUAAUUGGGGGACGAUGGAUUGGGGGACAAUGGAGCAGGAGAUUGGCCGGAGAAUCGGAGC